rnacentral:tRNA from 1 species
GCCCAGGUGGCGGAAUUGGUAGACGCGCUAGACUCAGAAUCUAGUGGGAGUAUUCCUGUGCUGGUUCGAUUCCAGUCUUGGGCACCA